CUCCGUUGCUGUGGGAAACGACCCGGGACCCGGGAGAGAGGAAAGACGUUUCCCGCCGGCGGGAGCUGCGGUUGUGGUGGCGGGGCUCAUAGCUCCGCAGCACCAUGGCGGACCAGCUUUAUCUGGAAAAUAUAGACGAGUUCGUCACGGACCAGAACAAGAUCGUGACAUACAAAUGGCUGAGCUAUACACUAGGAGUUCAUGUUAACCAGGCCAAACAGAUGCUGUACGAUUAUGUUGAAAGAAAGCGAAAGGAGAAUUCGGGAGCCCAACUGCAUGUCACCUAUUUAGUGUCUGGCAGUCUCAUUCAGAAUGGACAUUCCUGCCACAAGGUUGCAGUAGUGAGAGAAGAUAAAUUGGAAGCAGUGAAGUCCAAGCUAGCGGUGACUGCCAGCAUCCAUGUGUACAGCAUCCAGAAAGCUAUGCUAAAGGACAGUGGGCCUCUGUUCAAUACGGACUAUGACAUCCUUAAAAGCAACUUGCAGAACUGCAGCAAGUUUAGUGCCAUACAGUGUGCAGCUGCGGUCCCCAGAGCUGCUGCUGAAUCCUCGUCUUCUGAAAAGUUUGAGCAGUCAAAUCUUCAAGUAUCAAGUGAGACACCAGCCAAUAAUGAGUUGACAACCAAUGGUCAUAGUCUGCCUACCUCCAAACAGAUUUUCCAGCAGCCCAAAGGGAUAAUGGGAAUGUUUGCCUCUAAAGCUGCUUCUAAAACCCAAGAUGUCAACAAGGAAACCAAAACAGAGACUAAAGAGGUAACAAAUGUAUCCACAGGCAACAAGGCACCAGGGAAAGGGAAUGUGAUGAGCAAUUUUUUUGGAAAAGCUGCUAUGAAUAAACUUAAAGUCAAUUUGGAUUCAGAACAAGCAGUGAAAGAAGAAAAAAUAGUGGAGCAACCUCCAGUGUCUGUCACUGAACCAAACCUGGCAGCCCCUACAGGCCUGAAGAAAUCCAGCAAAAAAGCAGAGCCUGUUAAGAUGCAGCAGAAGGAAAAAAAAAGGGGGAAGCGAGUGGAGUUAUCUGAUGAUGAGACAAAAGAAACUGAAAAUAUGAAGAAAAAGAGGAGACGAAUCAAACUUCCUGAGUCUGAUAGCAGUGAAGAUGAAGUCAUACCAGAUUCUCCUGGGGAUUAUGAAGCUGAGUCACCAUCCCCACCUCCUCCUCCUUCUCCACCUCCGGAACCACUGCCGAAUAAUGAACCGGAGCCUCCUUCUGUCAAGAGCUCAAGUGGAGAAAAAAGAAAACGAAAGCGGGUGCUGAAAUCGAAAACUUUUGUGGAUGAGGAAGGCUGCAUAGUGACUGAAAAAGUCUACGAGAGUGAAUCCUGCACAGAUAGUGAAGAGGAGCUUAAGAUGAAGACCUCCUCUGUACACAGACCCUCUACUAUGACUGUGAAAAAAGAACCCAAAGAAGAACGAAAGGGCCCAAAGAAAGGGACUGCUGCUCUGGGCAAAGCCAACAGACAAGUGUCCAUUACUGGCUUCUUCCAGAGGAAGUGAACUGCCGACUCUGUUAAGUCAGAGACAUGGAGUGGUCCAAGGAGAAGACCAAGACAGACAGACUCUCGCUUACUGUGUACGUGAGGGUUGAAGGACGACAGCAGUGGUCAAGAGCACUGUCUGUGGAGCAAGACAGUCCGGGGCUCAGACUCCAGCUGCCAUUCGAGCUGUGUGACCUUGGACAAGGUACUUAUCUUCUCUUGGUCUGUGAAAUGGAGAAAAAUAGUCCUGCCCUGUCUGUGUGUUGUGAGGAGUCCGUGAAUUCAUGCAUGCAAAAUACCUACGUGGCACAUGGACAAUCUUGACUGUCGUGCUGCCUGGCCCCUUCGGUCGGAAGUGGCGAGGGAUGAAGCCCAGAGGAGAGCUGAGGCCAGUGGGGGCUGGGGUGCCCAGGCCUCUCUUUCUCCCACUGUCCCCUGAACACGGAUCCUGGGAACGUCUCUGCAAAUGGCAGGAAGGGUGGGGAUCACUGAUGGGCCAGUGCCAGCAGGGGAGCGCAAGACAGGGGCUGCAGUGAGGCCUGCAGCUAGACGCCACCAGGACUUCCCAGUAAAGAGAGGCACAUGUCAGGGAUGGAAAGAUCUGGAUGCGGCCUAAGACGUUCUCAGACAAUGGAUCUUUGAAAACUCUCAGAACGGUGGUUUGGAAAUCCUGCCUCCACCAAGCCCUUCUCAGGCCCGUCAGAGUGAACAAAGCCCCUUCCUGCUCAGAUAGUGUCUGAGUCAGAGACUGGCCAGACUGACCCCACAAGAGCACCCAGGAAACUAUCUCAGGCCCCAGAAGAGGCCCAGGUACAUAGGAGGCUCCCAGGAAAUGCCUGUCGAGUGGAAUAGUGGCAAGAUGGAAUCGAGGAGCCCAGCCCUUUAAUGGGACUUGCUCACGUCAUCCAGUCCCCAGCUUCAGGACCAGCCUGGAGAGGCAACACUGCAGAGGGAAGGGCCUUCUGGGAAUCAGAAGCCAGAUGACCUCUGCAAUCAUUAUAGACAUCUGUGUGCCAGGCCCUGGGCCAGUAGCAGCAAAAGAUACAAAAAUGAAUUGGGCAUGUUCCCUCCAUUUGAGGAGUGCAGAGUCUACUGGAGAACCCAGAAAUGGGCAAAUGUGAGUACACGAGCCAUGGAUUCCCAAGAACAAGGGCCAGGCCUGGUCUGUUCAUCUCUGAAUCAUCAGCUCAGGGCCCUGCUCCAACAGGUGCCCUCCAACAGUGCCUGUUCCGGUCUGGAUGAAGGAGGGAGUGAAUGAAUGAGAGCCAGGAGAGGAGUGCUAGAGGGCCUCUUGGUUAGAUGAAUGGAGCCAGCUUUGUCCACCUGGGAAGUUGGCAGGUUUGCUUCCAGCCCCCCUGCCCACUGAGUUUCCCCACAGCACCUCUUGCCCCACGGAAAACCCUGGACCAGCCCCCAGCCCCUCUGGGGUCACUGCUCCACAAGAUGGCCAGCUCACAAGGACUCAACAACACUAAGGGGCAUCCCAGAGUCCACAGAACUAGGCCUUCUAGAGGCCUGGCGCUCCUGGGUACUUAGAAUGUCUAGAGGGUGAACUGAGCCCCUCAGAUGAGUAACUAGGGUGGAGUUCAAGGAACUGUGUGACCUGAAGAGUUAGGAUCUCUUUCUUGAUUCUGGCCCUGGAGGAGCCAAGGGAUGGAGACGAUCAGCAACCUAUAGCCAGAAAUAAGGUGGAGACAGGCAAAGGGUUGGAUGGGCAGGUGACCAGGCCUUGCAGCCAGGGAAGUCAUAACUACCAUGUGCUGAGUGGCUACUAGGUAGGGGCUUUAUCUUAUAUAUAAAUAUAUGACGUCCCUUCAUCUUCUCAGCAAUCCUCAGGGUAGGUACAGCUAUCCACACUUCCACAAUGCGGAAAGAGCCUCUGUCCUAGAAGUUGAGUUGCCUAAGAUCACACAACUGAUGAGCACUGUCUCCUGGAUCUGGGUACUUUCCCUGAUGCUGAGCCACCUCUGGUGGCUGGGGUGGGGACUCCUUCAUUCAUUCAGUAUCUCUUGCGUGACUGCUGGGUGCCAGGCCCUCUUCUAAGCUCUAGGGACAUAGCAGUGAGACCAACACGGUUUCUGCCCUCACAGAACGUGCAUCCUAGGAGCAGGAGACAGAUGAUAAACAAUAAACAAGUAGGAACAAGAUCAUUUCAAAUGUUAAAUUUAUGAUAAUAAUAAAGCAGGGUGAUGUGAUCGAGUUAACAAAGACUAUUUUAAUAACAGCUGUCAAAGAAACCUCAUAAGGGGUCACAAGUAUGUGAUGAACUGCAAGUAGGAGGGACCAUCUGUGAGAAGAUCUCGUGGGGGAAAACAUCCAGAUGGAGGAACAACCAGGUAGGACUGAGGCUGAAGUGUUGGUGCAGGUAGGAGACGAGGUCUGAGAAAAAGGCAGAAGGUAGCUCCUGCAGAGCCCAACGCAGGAAAUUUGAAUUUUACUUUAGGUGCAACGAAAAACUAUUAGAAGGUUUUAAGAGUAGAAUAACGCCAUCAGUUUUAUGUGCAGAAAAGAUCAUUCUAGCUGCUGUGUGGAAGAUGGACUUAGAGAGGGAACAGGGAGACCCGUUGGGAGGCUGAUGUAGCAGCCCAGGGAGAGAUGAAGGUGGCUUUCAUUAGGGGAGCGGUGAUGGUGGAGAGAAGUGGAGGGAUUCCGGGUAUGUUUUGGAGAUACCCGCACAGUCGCUUGGGUUGGGGAAAUGCUGCAUGUGUGAACUCUGGGGAGGGAGAAAUGAAUUAACUCCAGUGGAUCACAAAACUGGGACUUUGUCAGCUGGACCACAUGAUAUGUCUGGAAUUUUCUGUUAUGGUUUUCUUUCUGCUGUCUGGCUAUAUUUCAUAAAGUUCUUUUUGUAAAGGCUGACUGGCCUCAUAUGUGCUAAGGAGAACCAAGGGGAGGCGGUUGUGGGGGGCUGUGUCCACGCUGGAACCAGUGUUCUGCCUCGGGCCAACAUGGGAGAAGGAGUGGGGAAUCAGAGGGAAACUUCCCAGGAGGAAUGAGACUCUAGUGAUCAGAGUCAAGAGGGGGACUGGUCACCCACCCCCCACUUCCCAGUGUCUUUCAGAAGCUCUUCUCUGCUCCCACUUUGAGUAUUGUCUUAACGAGGGAGACUCUUACAGGCCCCCCGCAUUCCUCUCUUGGCUUUGUGCAGGGAAAGACAGGCACCAAGGGGCUGGUUCCGGGUAGGUACCCUGUCUCCGCUCCCCUCCCCUCCACCCCACCCCAGCACCAGCACCCAGACAGAAAGAGCCAAGGAUCUCACACCAACCAGGCUGGGCCCCAGGCAGCUGAAGUAGAGCUAAGGGUGUUGCAAGCCUCCCAAAUCACUCCCCCUCCAUCCUCACCCCUCCACCCUCAUACCUGGCCUGAGAAUUCUGGACCACAUGGGGGUCUUAUUUAUUCCACCUAGUUGGUAGUACAAGGCUCUGUGGAGGGUGCUGGGGUGGGAUUGGGGGAGACAGAGGUGAACAG